rnacentral:rRNA from 1 species
UUUAUGGAGAGUUUGAUCCUGGCUCAGGAUGAACGCUGGCGGCGUGCCUAAUACAUGCAAGUCGAGCGAACGGAUGAGAAGCUUGCUUCUCUGAUGUUAGCGGCGGACGGGUGAGUAACACGUGGAUAACCUACCUAUAAGACUGGGAUAACUUCGGGAAACCGGAGCUAAUACCGGAUAAUAUUUUGAGCCGCAUGGUUCAAAAGUGAAAGACGGUCUUGCUGUCACUUAUAGAUGGAUCCGCG